GACGAACGCUGGCGGCGUGCUUAACACAUGCAAGUCGAACGGUGAAGCGCCUUCCUUUUUGGUGGGUGUGGAUGAGUGGCGAACGGGUGAGUAACACGUGAGUAACCUGCCCCCUUCUUCUGGAUAACCGCAUGAAAGUGUGGCUAAUACGGGAUAUUCUGGGUCUGUCGCAUGAUGGGUCUGGGAAAGAUAUUGUUUCGGUGGGGGAUGGGCUCGCGGCCUAUCAGCUUGUUGGUGGGGUGAUGGCCUACCAAGGCGGUGACGGGUAGCCGGCCUGAGAGGGUGGACGGUCACACUGGGACUGAGACACGGACCAGACUCCAACGGGAGGCAGCAGUGGGGAAUAUUGCACAAUGGGCGCAAGGCUGAUGCAGCGACGCCGCGUGAGGGAUGGAGGCCUUCGGGUUGUGAACCUCUUUCGCCAGUGAAGCAGGCCUGCCUCGUUUGUGGGUGGGUUGACGGUAGCUGGAGAAGAAGCGCCGGCUAACUACGUG
rnacentral:rRNA from 1 species